rnacentral:rRNA from 1 species
AACGAACGCUGGCGGCAUGCCUAACACAUGCAAGUCGAACGAGACCUUCGGGUCUCGUGGCGCACGGGUGCGUAACGCGUGGGAACCUGCCCUUAGGUUCGGAAUAACUCCCCGAAAGGGGUGCUAAUACCGGAUAAUGUCUUCGGACCAAAGAUUUAUCGCCUUUGGAUGGGCCCGCGUUGGAUUAGCUAGUUGGUAGGGUAAAAGCCUACCAAGGCGACGAUCCAUAGCUGGUCUGAGAGGAUGAUCAGCAACACUGGGACUGAGACACGGCCCAGACUCCUACGGGAGGCAGCAGUGGGGAAUAUUGGACAAUGGGCGAAAGACUGAGCCAGCAAUGCCGCGUGAGUGAUGAAGGCCUUAGGGUUGUAAAGCUCUUUUACCCGGGAUGAUAAUGACAGUACCGGGAGAAUAAGCUCCGGCUAACUCCGUG